UACGUAGGGGGCAAGCGUUGUCCGGAUUCAUUGGGCGUAAAGAGCGUGUAGGCGGACCUGCAAGUCGGGGGUGAAAGCCCGAGGCUCAACCUCGGAACUGCCUUCGAUACUGCGGGUCUCGAGUCCGGGAGAGGUGAGUGGAAUUCCUAGUGUAGAGGUGAAAUUCGUAGAUAUUAGGAAGAACACCAGUGGCGAAGGCGGCUCACUGGCCCGGUACUGACGCUGAGGCGCGAAAGCGUGGGGAGCAAACAGG
rnacentral:rRNA from 1 species